rnacentral:rRNA from 1 species
GGCGGCUCGAGUGGUGGCCACUAUUACUGGGCUUAAAGCGUCCGUAGCCGGGUUGUUAAGUCUCUUGGGAAAUCCAACGGCUCAACCGUUGGGCGUUCAAGGGAUACUGGCAAUCUAGGGACUGGGGGAGGUGAGAGGUACUCUAGGGGUAGGAGUGAAAUCCUGUAAUCCUUGGGGGACCACCUGUGGCGAAGGCGUCUCACCAGAACAGCUCCGACGGUGAGGGACGAAAGCUGGGGGAGCAAACC